rnacentral:lncRNA from 1 species
CCCAACCUGACUGCUGUGUUCUGCCCUGAGUCUGCAGAGGCUGACCCUGGCCAGGAAAGUGGUUGGAAAAGCAUUUUUGCAGAGAGGCAGCCUGAAGGUGGUGGCUCUAUGUAAGUGUGCACCCUUGGUUGGAAAGGCUGAAGGUCAGGAAUGGUAUUAGGAGAAAGUUCCCCCUUUCUCCUUUGUCCCUCCUUCCUGCCCCUGGACACAGGCUUGAGGAUCUGCAUCUGGCUGGCUCACCCUUCCUGCACAACUUUUCUAUUCAAGUUUUUCAGGGCAGGGCUUUAAGAAACACUUCAGGUUAAUUAUAGCCAGGGGUCAUUUUCUAUACAAGCGGGACAAACUUGAUGUGACUACAGGGCUGUCUCCAGGGCUGAUUCAUUCGACCUAGAAAACUGCCCCUAGGGAAACAGCCUCAGAAUCUUGCCUGCAGCUCUGGAAGUGGUAAUGGGCCCACCUGUCUCCCUGCCCAUCAUCUCACAUCUGGGGGAAUGUCUUGGCUAGCAGCAUGGCCCUGAGUGAGGGGUUUAGGUAAACAAGGUGUGACUGGGAUUGGAAGAGUCACAAACCUGUUUGUUAGAGCAAUGCUGAAGAGUUUCAGGAAAAGAAUUUCAUCAAGGCUGGCACAUCUGUCCUCAGACACUUGAAGGAUUCCCUGGAGGAAGGAGGACUGAACUUGCCCUACAAGAUCCUGCGGGGCAAAGAACUGUAAGCAGAGACAAAAUGAAAGCCCUCUAGGCCCACAAUUGAUUCUAACGGCUGUGAGGGAAUGAGCUUCAACUACUGUUGAUGGGAGGGACUGUGUGCCAGGCACUGUGCUAGGGACUCUCAUGCAUGAUCUCAUUCAUCUUCUGCAUAACCCAAUGAGGUAUGAUCUACUAUCAAGUGUCUACAUUUGUAUUGGAUUGGUAUGUGUGCCCAACAAAGAAAGUGUCAUUUUUCCUUGGGAAUGAAAUCACAUCAUUUGUGAAGACUUAGUAGAGGCUAAAUGAGUACAAGCAGCAUUUACCUUAUUAAACAGAUAUUUUCAACAUUUAAAACAGUCUGACCAUCAAUGAUGAUGUUCAAAAACAUCUCAAGAUGUUUUAGAGCUAAAGCAAAUGAGAAAAUAUAGUAAAGGGCUGAUUCCUGUGGAUAUUCUGCAAAGGAAAGUAACAUGGUGGAGUGGAAGUGGGAUAAGGUUUGAAGCCAAAAGACCUGGUGGGCUUAAGGUCUCCAUUUAUUGGUUGUGUGACCUUGGAUAAGCCACUUCACCUCCUGGUGAGACUUGGGCAAAAUGGAGAUCAUAUUAAUCACCUCACAGUUUGUUACGCAUUGAGUAAAUGCACAUGUAAGCAUUAUUGACUGUAAAUGAUUAUGCAUAUUUUAAUUAUGGUAUAUCCAAGCCUGAUUUUUCAUCCAGUGCUUACAGUGCCCUGGGCAUAAUACUCAUUCAAUAAACAUUUGUUUGAUGAUAGAGUAAUAAAUGAAUAUGUGAUGCAGAAGUUUUAAAAAUAUUUUUGCUGCUGUCUGACUCAUUUAUAGACAUUUAUAAAAUUGAGGAUUUGUAAGUUGUCCCUGGACAAUCAGAUCUCUUGAUUCAAAGGUGAAAGAUAAUCAUUCAGGUUUUCAAGUUUUUCCUGAUAUGAGACAUUAACUGGCAGGGCUGAUUAUGAGAAAUUGUCAUUAUCCUGCUCAAAUAUAAGAUCAUAGAUUUGGGAAACCUUAGAAAUAAUUACCUUCUUUUCAAAUAUGAGGAAACUGAAGCCCAGAGGCUCUAAGAAAUCAGGGACUUUAUAUAAUUUUUUCAUUUCUCUAGCUCUAGGGUAAUUGUAGAUAGAUAUACAACAAGUAUGUUUUUAAAAGUAUAUUUUUCAAGAAUUAUGCUAAGCACUGGGGAAAUAAACAUUAACAAGACAAAACCCUCCCCUUUGAGGAACUGAUAAUCUAGACAGACAUGAAAACCAGGAAGUGUGCUAUCAGUUAUAUUAAUGUUGUACAGAGUUCUAGUGGCAAGAGGGAACUGCCAAGGGAAAUCUGAGAGGAGGUGUUUACCCUGCGUAAACACCUUGCUGUUUAGCUUGGCAUCCCUAGAAGCAGACCCUGAGGACAGUGGGAAAAUGGAUUAUUAAGGAAGUGCUCCUGAGAGAAACCAGAAAGGGGGUGUAGGGAGCAAGGGAGGAUAAGGAGAAGACUCCAGUAAGGAUGAGAUUACUCAAGUCCCAUGGAAGACAGGUUAGCCUGAUCCUGCAGGGGAGCCCUGGAGGACUUAACAUCUCUGGAAAGCCAGAAAUCAGAGAUACAGAGAAGUAUUGAAAUGCUGAAAUGCUAUGAAUUUACUAUAAGAGAACAUUCUUCACUGAAGAGAUCUCUAGCUGCCAAAACACCCUUUCAUGCGUGAAAUACCGGGGCAAAGAGGAAGGAAAAGAGAAGAGUAUGACUCUAGGAACCAUGUUGCAGAAAUGCCAAAGGGUGGGACAAACAAAGUUACUAAUGUGGAGAAAGAAGAUUAUCAUGUGUGGAACGAAGGACAAUAUGAACAUUAAAUAAUGCCCUGACUCAUUCCAAAAAGAAUCUGAGAUGACCAAUAAAGCCAUUUUUAAUUGUUUAUUAGUGAACAAUAGAUUAUGAGUGCUAAAGGGAUUCAGGAAGAAGAAAGAUCAGUGCAGAGUAGAGAAGUCUGAUGGAUGCAUUGAAGAAGCUAUGCUUGAGCUGAAAUGACAAGAGAGCUGUUUUUCGCUUUCAGAAUUAUUAUGUGGCAAUGGUAAUUGACAACAGAGAAGCUGAAGGGAGGAAGUCACUUUAUGGGAGCAGAGUCACUCUCAAGUAAUAGCUGGCCAUACAGAUUGCUCUGGACCAAGGGUGAAUGUGAAGAAGAAAAGACCGGCCAGCAACACAAUGGAAUAUCUAGAGUCAUAUUGAGGGAAAUACUUAGAUUGCUGAUUUCUUAGUGGAUUUCACAAGCAGAGCUGCUUGUGAGCAGAAUGGUGAAGUAGGGGCAUGUGUUUCUGGGGUCUUAUUCCAUGGCUUCCUUCCACCUACAAGAGUCAUCCUCACGGAGUACUUGCAUUUCAGUAGAAGAAAAAAAUCUUAUAGAUGGAAGGGAAGGAUGGGGUUCCUGCUUUAGGAAGAUUGGCAUGGUCAUAAGUCUGAGCAAGGAAGGGCCCAGGGCAGCUCAGAGCUCUGAGCAGGAAGCUCUAAUUAGUUACUGAAUAUGGUGCAAGCACAAAGAGAGCGUAGUGUUUUCCCUUUCCAUCUGUGGAAGUCUUGGCCAUGCUUACUUGGGCGUUCCUUCCAGGAAACAUUUAUUUUUCCUCUUUAAUGCCCUCCUCAUAUCUAUGCUCUCAGUAGAGGAUGCCACUGCUUCUGGCACCUGGAUAAUAGAAUGAAGCUGAUUGGGAUGGAAACAGAAAAGUCAUCUCUCAGAACAAUGAGCAGAGACUGAAACUCCCUUGUACCCAGUCCCUGUGCACUGCUGUUCAUAGCCAAAUGGGCAAGGCCUUGCCAAAUGUCAUGUUGAGGUGAGGCCCUAAGUGAUAGAAAAAUAAAAAAUGACUAUGGCCACUUGCAUGUUCAGAGAAUUCAGUUUAGAAAAUGCUAUGCUGGGAGGAUCUCUCUUAAUAUCUUGUUUGCAUCAGAAUGUUCAAGUUGCAAUAUAUGUUUUUGUUUUGUGUAUUUAUUUAUUUUCCUCUACUCUAUUCUGUUAAGUCUUUUAGGGCAAAGGUAGGGUAGUCUAUACUCCCUGCGUUAUCCAUAAUGCCUAGCACUGUGUCUUGUACAUAAAAGGUCAUAAUAAAUACCUGUUGGCUAGAUAGAUGAAUGGAUAGAGUGCCUCAUUUAGAAGCAUUAUACUUCUAUGGAAAAAAAUUUUUAAAUGUAUUUUUUUCUAUGAGAUAACACAGUUCCUGAAUAGGUCAUGGGCAGGUGCUAUUCAAGUUUGCGAAGGAAAGGUUUUCCUAGAGUUAGGGUAAUUUUUUCCUCAAAUAAGAAAAACCUACAGUAAAUAAUUACUCUCCAUAUUAUCUUUAGGUUUCUUGCCAGUAUUAACAUCUUUUUUAUUGUAAGUGAUGAUAUUGUCUGUGAGAACAUUACAGUAGGUUAGUAUCCUGGGUUAAGCUAAGUGUUGUUGAAAAUAAUCCUGGACAUCCAAACAGGAAGAGAGGAAGUCAAACUAUUCCUGUUUGCAAAUAACAUGAUUCUAUAUCUAGAAAACCCUGUAAUGUCAGCCCCAAGGCUCUGUGAGAUCAGAGAUAAAUAACCUCAGCAAAGUCAACAUACAAACAUCAGUAGCAUUCCUUAUACAAACAACAUCCAAGCUGAUGGCCAAAUCAGGAUGCAAUCCCAUUCACAAUUGCCCCCCCAAAAAUAUAAAAUACUUAGGAAUACAGCUAACCAGGGAUGUGAAAGAUCUCUAUAAUAAGAAUUACAAAACACUGCUCAAAAAAUCAUAGAUGACACCAAAAAUUGGAAAAAUAAUCCAUGCUCAUGGAUUGGAUGAAUCAAUAUCAUUAAAAUGGCCAUACUGCCCAAAGCAAUUUACAGAUUUCACAGAUUCAGUGCUAUUCCUAUCAAAAUAUCAAUGACAUUUUUCGUGGAAUUAGAAAAAACUAUUUUAAAAUUGACAUGGAACCCAAAAGGGACCCCGAAUAGUCGAGGCAAUCCUAAACAAAAAGAACAAAGCUGGAGGUAUUAUAUUACCCAAUGUCAACAUAUACUACAGGGCUAUAGUAACCAAAAGAGCAUGGUACUGGUACAAAAACAGACACAUAGACCAAUAGAACGUAAUAAAGAGCCCAGAAAUAAUGUCACACCACUUACAACCAUCUGAUCUUCAAUAAAGCUGACAAAAACAAACAAUAGGGAAAAGAUUCCUCAUUCAAUAAAUGGUGCUGGGAUAACUGGCUAGUCAUAUGCAGAAGAUUGAAACUGGACACCCCACCUUACACUACAUACAAAAAUCAGUGUAAGAUGAAUUAAAGGCUUAAAUGUAAAACCUAAAACUAUAAAAACCCUGAAAGAUAACCUAGGAAAUACCAUUCUGGACAUAGAACUUGGCAAAGAUUUCAUGAUGAAGACAACAAAAGCAAUUGCAACAAAAACAAAAAUUGACAAAUGGGAUCUAAUUAAACUGAAGAGCUUCUGAACAAAAAAAGAAACUAUCAACAGAGUAAACAGACAACCUACAGAAUGGGAGAAGAUAUCUGCAAACUAUGCAUCCAACAAAGGUCUAAUAUCCAGAUGCUGUAAGGAACUUAAAUUUAUAAGCAUAAACAAACAACCCCAUUAAAAAGUGGGCAAAGGACAUGAAGAGAUACUUUUCAAAAGAAGACAUAUAUGUGGCCAACAAGCAUAUAAAAAAUGCUCAACAUCACUAAUCAUUAGAGAAAUGCAAAUUAAAACCACAGUGAAAUACCAUCCCACACCAGUCAGAAUGGCUAUUAUUAAAAGUUGAAAAAUAAUAGGUGCUAGCAAUGUUGUGGAGAAAAGGGAACACUUAUACACCACUGAUGGGAAUGUAAAUUAGUUCAGCCACUGUAGAAAGCAGUUGGGUGAUUCCUCAAAGAACUUAAAAAAACAGAGUUACCAUCCAACCUAGCAACCCCAUUAUUGGGUAUAAUCCAAAGGAAUAUAAAUUGUUCUAUCAUAAAGACACAUGCACAUGUAUAUUCAUUGCAGCACUAUUCGCAAUAAGAAAGAUAUGGCAUCACCCUAAAUGCCCAUCAGUGGUAGACUGGAUAAAGAAAAUGUGGUGCAUAUACACCAUGGAAUACUAUGCAGCCAUAAAAAACAAUGAGAUCAUGUCCUGUGAAGCAACAUGGAUGGAUCUGGAAGCCAUUAUCCUAAGCAAACUAACACAAGAACAGAAAACCAAAUAUGGCAUGUUCUUACAAGUGGAAGCUAAACAAUAGGAACACAUGGAUAUUAGAAGGGUAACAGAAGAUAUUGGGGCCUACUUGAGGGUGGAAAGUGGGAGGAAGGAGAGGAUCGGAAAAAUACCUAUUGGGUACUAUGUUUAUUACCUGGAUGAUAAAAUUAUCUGUCACCAAACCCCUGUGACAUGCAGUUUACCUAUAUAACAAACCUGCACAUGUACCCCUGAGCCUAAAAUAAAAGUUUAAAAAAAAAAAAGAAAAUACACCUGGACCCUAUUUUGAAAGACAUACUGUAGACUUGAGGGAGGAAGAGCAGAGGGAUGGAAAGGGCCCCGAAUUACCCACAAGCCAUGUGAAUGCUUAAGCAGUCAUGGACCACAAUUCUCACCACACACACACACACACACACACACACACACACACACACACACACACAGGUCUGAACCCUUACCCCUGUCUACUACUUAUUGGAGCUUGGUAGAAAAAAAGUUGUGAGUGACAGAAAAGUGAGAAAAAGAGAAGAAGAAGAAAAAUUGGAAAGUGUGGAAGAAAAAGUGGCAAAUGCAAGCAGCCCUUAAUGGAACUGUGCUGAAUUGAGAGACAGCAGAAGGUAACAGCUGGCUGGGACUUGGCCAUGAAAGGUGGAAUGUGAGGAGACAAAUGAAAUGGAAAUGCAGGAAAGAAUGGAGUGGCAAAGGAGGCUGGAGAUGGGGCAGAGGAUAGCAAGGGGAGAGAAGGAAGCACAGAAAGGGUGUGGGGGACAGGCCAGAGAGUAGAAGGCUAGAUGGAACUGACUGAUGCCACCAGUCAGAGAUGGAGACCAUUAACAAUGUGUAGGGAAACCCCUGCCUUCCCAAUAAUGAAAAUGCAGGUUUAAUCAGUACCAAGGAACACUGUGAAGUAAGGGCAUUGACUUGGGAAGUGAAAGCCGAAGAUAGAGCAAACCCCAUACGGCAUAUCCUAACUCGCCAUUUUAACAGCAGAAAGACUCGAAAAUACAAAGCAAAGGAUUAUCCAAAGGGCUUUUUAAAAUAAUGCUUAAAAUUUUAAUCUUGUAAAUAUAUUUCCCUUCCCAGUAUGAAAAUAAUUCCGAGUAUAAUCUUUAUUUACUUUCCCCUUUUUAUUUUAGAAGAGUAAACAUAGCUUUAAGAAUUAAAAAAAUCAGUUAAUAAUCUGACUUUUAAGUCAGCUGUAAAAAUGUAAGUUUCUAGCUCUGCCACUUUUUAGUAGUGUGACUUUGGGCAAAUUGCUCAAAAACUCCAAAUUCUUGUUUCUUUACCUACAAAAAAGGGACAAUAAUACAUACCUCCUAUGAUAGUAGAAAAUUACGUGAAAAUAUACUCCAAGUAUCUCAGAGGGCUUGAUUUCCAGAAAGCGCCCAAGCUCAAUCAAUAGUGACGUUUACUAUCCACGCAGCCAGUUCUACUACUGGGAGUUGGUUGGUGCUGAUAAAGCUUUUUGUCAGACUUCUCACAAUUUCCAUUGUGAGAAGAUGUAGCUUCCAAUUAACUCUGUCACUGAUUGUUGGGUAACUUUGGGCCAAAUGCUGUUCCUUAAUGAAUGUGGGUGUGAAACUUAUUAAGAUUAAUGACUGUCACAGCUGUUAGCCAGAUGUUUACAUAAUUCCCUCUGUUUUACAGCAAUCAUAUCAGAGGAAAGGGGUUGAAUGAUAGAAUUAGAAAAAUAAGUACAAUAUUGUGGGAAUGAAUAAAUGUUGUUUUGGAGGGUAGGAGAUUAAAAUCCUAAAUGUAUUUUGAUUAGGCUAAUAUUAAAAAUUAGCAUCUGUAAAUCAGUAAUCUAAUUGAAGGAAUUUUUUAACACAAGUGACUGGUGGAGGGGACACAGCAUGGGAGGGCAUGCUUACAGCAAGAGCUCCAUUGAUUAAAUAGUCCCCUGCAGAACACAGAGAGUUAAAUACGUCUUUAAUAGCCUCCAGCAUGAAAGGGCAAAUCAUUUGUUUUAAUUGAGGAAGGAUAAAAUAUUUUUGCUUUACACAUAUAUGUUCUAUUUUAGCAUCAUAGUUAUUUUUAUAGCUGUUAUAACUUCACAAAACCUAAUAGGAAAAUAAAUCUGAAUCCAGAAGAGUUCAAUACUUUCCAGAGGAGUCUAGUAAAUAAAAACUCUACACUGACUGACUGAUCUUAUUCAUGCACUGCUCCUAAACCCAAACUCUCAAGUGAAGGGAAAAGAGGUUAAUUCGUUGGAAUAAAUUCAUGGGAUUUUUUUUUAAAGACACAUCCUGAAUCAAAGUGAUUAAAACAACAAAUGGAUAAAGGGUAGAGCUGUGAGAGGACAAGGUUUGCAUUACUGAGCAUCUUGAUUAUGUGGGGAAGAUGGGAAACAGAUCUUGCCCAUUCUGGUCUCAAACUACUAAAUCCUGAGAAUGCCAAGAGGCGAGUCACUGAAGUCAGAAGUUGGAAACAUGGCUAAGCUGUCCAGAGUGUGGAACACAUGGUCUCUGAAGGUUUUUAUUAGUGUGUGGGUGAGAGUUCAGAAGCUCUACUAAUUACUUUUGUUUUCAGAAUUUAUAAAGUUAAGACAGAAAGCGGAAUAUUAACACUUCACUUCCUCGUGCAGUCAUUAAUUUACUCACUUAGCAUACAUUUAUUCAUAGAAGCUUAUUGGUACCAAGUAUACCCUCAAUGAGCAACCAACCCAAAAUUGCAAAAGGGAGAUCAAACAGGGAAGCUGUGGUAGGAAGUAUCAUGGCCUCUUCAAAGAUGUCUAUAUACUAAUCACAGAAUUUAUGUAUAUGUGAUGCUGUAUGUCAAGGGAAGAUUAAGGUGUGCAGAUGGAAUUAAGGUUGCUAAUCAGCUGACCUUAAAAUAGGAGUACUAUCUUGGAAUAUCUGGGUGGGCUCAAUGUAAUCACAAAUGUUCUUAACAGAUAGAAGAAGAAGGCAGAGGAGUCAGUGUUGGAGUGAUGCCAUGUGAGAAAGACUCAACUGGCCAUUGCUGGCUUUGAAAAUGGAAGGAGGCAUAAGCCAAGGAAUGAAUGCAGGUGCCUCUAGAACCUGGAAAAAGCAAGGAAACAAAUUCUCCUCUAGAACCUCCAGAAGGAAUGCAUUCCUGCCAACACCUUGAUUUUUAGCUCGGUGAGACCCAUGCUGGACUUCUGACCUGCAGGAUUGCAAGAUAAGAUAUUUGACUUAUUUUAAGAUGCUAAGUUUGCAGUAAUUUGAUAUGGUAGCCAUCGGAAACUAAUACCGAUGCCAAAGCAGUAAAGCAGGAAAGCACUCCAAAAUCACAGGAGUGAGAGGAGCAGAAAUGUCCUAGGAGAAGACAAUGUUUCCUUUUGAAAAGGAAAGUUUACUGGCAACUUCCAUUUGAAUUUCUUAAUUUCUUUCCUCAGUGGCAGUCACUACUUCCAAGGUGGCAGGUUCCAGAGCUGAUUCAUUAUAUAAUCUUUUCUCAGGAGUAUUCUAGCCACCUUUAAAGAAGCUAGGGCCAUUUUCCUGACACUGCAUCAAGGGGUAAGGUUAGUGGUAAAGAAACCAUGCGGUAGGAAAGGCCAACUUUCUCCCUACAUAAUCCAAUCGCAUUAUCUCCAGACUUGCUCACCCUCUGCUCUUUGCAUACUGCAGCUCCAGAGCUUUCAUACCUACAGACUUCCUGGAGUUAAGACUAAAACAAGAGUUGUGCUACAGACUACCGUUCCUAUUAUCAUUUUUUGUGUCCUGCUGAGUCCUCCCCUCUUGGCAACUUCAGGACCACCCACUGGGAAGAUAAUAUACAACCCAUCAGGAAACUCCCAGUGCCCAUCGUGGAGGCCAAGUGCUGCCAACUCUGAUUGCUUCUGGAAUGCCAUUUCUUCCCUGCCCUUUCAAUAUUCUUGUUAUGCGACUCCUAUGAUCACUGCCAAUCUGUAGAAAAUUACAGGAUGAAUUUUUGUGAAGGACUGAAUUUGCAUACUGGUCUUUUGUUGUUUAUUGUUGGGGGGAUUUUGCUUUUUGCACACAAUUUCUGCACAUUUUAUUGGAAGUUAUUGGGUUAGAUUCAUCCCAUUCAUUCACUAGCCUGGCAUUGCUAUGCAUGUGCUGUAGGGGCUUAGCAUUAAACGAUUUUCUUUGUUCAGAUUUGGAUUGCUGUCUCUGCUUGCAAAUUAUUUUUCACAAUGACUCCUUCUUUUCCUUCUCUCUCUCUCUCUUUCUCUCUCUCUCUCUCUCACACACACACACAGACACACACACACACACACACACACACACACACACACACACACAGAUGAGGUUAGAUAUUUUUCCAUUGCCAAGUUCAGGACCCAUGAAUAC